CCUGGAUGAGAGCUGGGUCUCACCGUAUCAGAGGGCUAUUAUCCUGCAUGAAGAACUGAGAGACCAAAAGCUGUGGGACUGUUCCGUGCAGGGUUGCUGUGCCCACCCCCUCCAUCACCUUGAUUCCAGGCAAGGCAUCUUCUCAUCUAGCCAUCACUUUAUCUACAGUAUGAAGUUGCUGUUCACAGCCAUGGAGCAAAACGGCUGAGAGAGGACCCUGAAGACCCAGGAUGUGGAUGCGCCAGCUCUCUUGGUGCCUGGACCCUGGACAAUGGAGGUAGACUGAGUUCUCCAGAGAACACCGCCGGACUGCGCUACACCUUUCCCAGACCCUGUAACCAAUCCCUUCACUUGUAAGUUACCCCACAAAAUAAACCUCCCUUUUAACUA